CGCAGCGACGUCGCGUGGGGGAAGGAACGGCGUUUCGGGUUAGUAAACCCCCUUUUAUUCGAGGAAGGAAACAAAUGACGGUACUCGAUGAAUAAGCCCCGGCUAACUCCGUGC
rnacentral:rRNA from 1 species